rnacentral:rRNA from 1 species
CUGUUGAGCUUGACUCUAGCCAAGCACAGGCCUCUGUGACUAUAUCGUAGCGAGGUGGGAGAAAUGUGUGAGACCACUGACAUAGUCGGCGGGGGCACUCGCAAAGCUUGGUGGGGAGUUUGGCUGGGGCGGCACGACUACUAAAACAUAACGUAGACGUCCAAAGGUAAGCUCCGAGGGGAUGGAAACCACUCCGAGAGUAUAAGGGCAAAAGCUUGCUUUAGUUAUUAAUGUAAAUUAAUAAUACUGGAAACAGGGGCCUAGAGAUCCUCUAUGAAACUAAGCAUAGAGGUGACGGAAAAGUUACCACAGGGAUAACUGGCUUGUGGCGGCCGAGCGUCCAUAGCGACGCCGCUUUUUGAUUCUUCGAUGUCGGCUCUUCCGAGCAUGGUGGAGUAUCAGCCACCAAGUGUGUGAUUGUUCACCAACUAACAGGGAACGUGAGCUGGGUUUAGACCGUCGCGAGACAGGUUAGUUUUACCCUACUGCAUCGCGUCCGAGAGUAGGUCGGGGCAGUACGAGAGGAAGUGCCGAUCAGAACCGCUGGUGAUACUUUCGUCUGUUAAGGCGCGAAGUGUAGCUACGUUCUUCUUAUAAUAGCUGAAAGCCUCUAAGCUAGAAUGAGUACUUAAGGACGCAAAGAUAUGAAGACUACAUAUGUAAGGAUGAGGGUUGUACGAUAUAAGCUUCUGCGAGUAUUUCAGACCACUUAUUUCCUUUUUUAGAACAUGCUUGCUCGGAUACAUACAGG